UGAAGGACGUGAUAAGCUGCGAUAAGCUUCGGGGAGUUGCACGUAAACUUUGAUCCGAAGAUUUCCGAAUGAGGAAACUCACUUAGAGUAAUGUCUAAGUAUCAUUAAGUGAAUACAUAGCUUAAUGAGGGGAACUCAGGGAACUGAAACAUCUAAGUACCUGAAGGAAGAGAAAGAAAUUCGAUUCCGUAAGUAGCGGCGAGCGAACGCGGAUUAGCCCAAACCAAUAAAGUUUUCUUUAUUGGGGUUGCGGACAUAUCAUAACGAAGAGGUAUCGUAAUUGAAGAGGUUUGGAAAGACCCACCACAGAAGGUAAUAGUCCUGUAUGUUAAACGAGAAGACUUCAGAUAUGAUCCAGAGUACCACGGGACACGUGAAACCCUGUGGGAAGCAGGAGGGACCACCCUCCAAGGCUAAAUACUACCUAGUGACCGAUAGCGUAUAGUACCGUGAGGGAAAGGUGAAAAGAACCCCGGGAGGGGAGUGAAAUAGAACCUGAAACCCUGCACUUACAAGCUGUGGAAGCACAUUUCUUGUGUGACCGCGUACUUUUUGUAGAACGGGCCAACGAGUUACGUUAAGUAGCAAGGUUAAGCACUUAAGGUGUGGAGCCGUAGCGAAAGCGAGUUUUAACUGAGCGUUCAGUUACUUGACGUAGACCCGAAACCGGGCGACCUACCCAUGAGCAGGAUGAAGCGAAAGUAAAAUUUCGUGGAGGUCCGAACCCACGAGCGUUGAAAAGCUCGGGGAUGACUUGUGGGUAGCGGUGAAAUUCCAAUCGAGCCCGGAGAUAGCUGGUUCUCCCCGAAAUAGCUUUAGGGCUAGCCUCAAGGUGAGAGAUACGGAGGUAGAGCACUGAAUGUCCUAGGGGGUAUUGCACCUACCGAAGACUAUCAAACUCCGAAUGCCGUCAUCUUAUACUUGGGAGUCAGACUGUGGGUGAUAAGAUUCAUAGUCGAAAGGGCAACAGCCCAGAUCGUCAGCUAAGGUCCCUAAAUGUAAGUUAAGUGGUAAAGGAUGUGGGAUUGCACAGACAACCAGGAUGUUGGCUUAGAAGCAGCCACUCAUUCAAAGAGUGCGUAAUAGCUCACUGGUCGAGUGAUCCUGCGCCGAAGAUUUCCGGGGCUAAAACUUACUACCGAAGCUACGGCAUCAGUAAUGAUGGGUAGGGGAGCUUCCCAUACGGGUUGAAGCAUGACCGUAAGGACAUGUGGACAGUAUGGGAGUGAGAAUGUUGGCAUGAGUAGCGAGAUGUGGGUGAGAAUCCCACAGGCCGUAAACCCAAGGUUUCCAGGGGAAGGUUCGUCCGCCCUGGGUUAGUCGGGACCUAAGCUGAGGCCGAAAGGCGUAGGUGAUGGACAACAGGUUGAUAUUCCUGUACUACCGAUAACCGUUUGAGAGAAGGGAUGACACAGUAGGAUAAGCUAAGCACACUGUUGGUUAUGUGUGCCCAAGCAUUGAGGCAGUCAAAGUAGGCAAAUCCGCUUUGAUAAUGCUGGGAUGUGAUGGGGAGCGAAAUUUAGUAGCGAAGUAGCUGAUUUCACACUGUCAAGAAAAGUCUCUAUCGAGGUUAAAGGUACCCGUACCGCAAACCGACACAGGUGGGUGAGGAGAGUAUCCUAAGGCCAGCGAGAGAACUGUUGUUAAGGAACUCGGCAAAAUGACCCCGUAACUUAGGGAUAAGGGGUGCCACCAUCAGGUGGCCGCAGAGAAUAGGCCCAAGCGACUGUUUACCAAAAACAUAGGUUUCUGCUAAGUCGCAAGACGAUGUAUAGGAGCUGACGCCUGCCCGGUGCUGGAAGGUUAAGGGGAUCUGUUAGAGCAAUCGAAGCAGUGAACUUAAGCCCCAGUAAACGGCGGCCGUAACUAUAACGGUCCUAAGGUAGCGAAAUUCCUUGUCGGGUAAGUUCCGACCCGCACGAAAGGCGUAACGAUUUGGGCACUGUCUCAACAACAGACUCGGUGAAAUUGUAAUUCCGGUGAAGAUGCCGGAUACCUGCGACAGGACGGAAAGACCCCAUGGAGCUUUACUGUAGCUUGACAUUGGGUUUUGGUACUACAUGUACAGGAUAGGUGGGAGGCUUUGAAACCAGGACGCCAGUUUUGGCGGAGCCAUCCUUGGGAUACCACCCUUGUAGUACUGGGACUCUAACCAUAGGCCAUGAAUCUGGUCUUGGGACACUGUCAGGUGGGCAGUUUGACUGGGGCGGUCGCCUCCCAAAAGGUAACGGAGGCGCUCAAAGGUUCUCUCAGUACGGUCGGAAAUCGUACGUAGAGUGUAAAGGCAAAAGAGAGCUUGAUUGCAAGACAUACAGGUCGAGCAAGGAUGAAAAUCGGACUUAGUGAUCCGGUGGUUCUGCGUGGAAGGGCCAUCGCUCAACGGAUAAAAGCUACCCUGGGGAUAACAGGCUUAUCUCCCCCAAGAGUCCACAUCGACGGGGAGGUUUGGCACCUCGAUGUCGGCUCAUCACAUCCUGGGGCUGUAGUAGGUCCCAAGGGUUGGGCUGUUCGCCCAUUAAAGUGGUACGCGAGCUGGGUUCAGAACGUCGUGAGACAGUUCGGUCCCUAUCCGUCGCAGGCGUAGGAAAUUUGAGAAGACCUGUCCUUAGUACGAGAGGACCGGGAUGGACGUACCUCUGGUGUACCAGUUGUUCUGCCAAGGGCAUGGCUGGGUAGCUAUGUACGGAAUGGAUAAGCGCUGAAAGCAUCUAAGCGCGAAGCCAACUUCAAGAUAAGAUUUCCCACCGCAAGGGUAAGACCCCAGAAAGACUAUCUGGUUGAUAGGUCGAAGGUGUAAGUGCAGCAAUGUAUUUAGCUUAUCGAUACUAAUAGGUCGAGGACUUGACCAAUAUUAUUUGAUGUUCACUUACUAAGAUAUAUAUGUAGUUUUUAGAGU
rnacentral:rRNA from 1 species